UACGGAGGGUGCAAGCGUUAUCCGGAUUUACUGGGUUAAAGGGUGCGUAGGUGGGUCUGUAAGUCAGUGGUGAAAUCUUCAAGCUUAACUGGAAACUGCCAUUGAUACUAUAGUCUUGAAUUAUCUGGAGGUAAGCGGAAUAUGUCAUGUAGCGGUGAAAUGCUUAGAUAUGACAUAGAACACCAUUGCGAAGGCAGCUUACUACGGAUCGAUGACACUGAGGCACGAAAGCGUGGGGAUCAAACAGG
rnacentral:rRNA from 1 species